GUGGGGAAUUUUGGACAAUGGGCGCAAGCCUGAUCCAGCAAUGCCGCGUGCAGGAAGAAGGCCUUCGGGUUGUAAACUGCUUUUGUACGGAACGAAACGGCUCUGGUUAAUACCUGGGGCUAAUGACGGUACCGUAAGAAUAAGCACCGGCUAACUACGUGCCAGCAGCCGCGGUAAUACGUAGGGUGCAAGCGUUAAUCGGAAUUACUGGGCGUAAAGCGUGCGCAGGCGGUUGUGCAAGACAGAUGUGAAAUCCCCGGGCUUAACCUGGGAAUGGCAUUUGUGACUGCACGGCUAGAGUGUGUCAGAGGGGGGUAGAAUUCCACGUGUAGCAGUGAAAUGCGUAGAUAUGCGGAGGAACACCGAUGGCGAAGGCAAUCCCCUGGGCCUGCACUGACGCUCAUGCACGAAAGCGUGGGGAGCAAACAGGAUUAGAAACCCGGGUAGUCC
rnacentral:rRNA from 1 species